GGACGUUUAGUUUAGUGGUUAUAACGUCCGCUUUAAACGCGGAAGGUCGCGAGUUCGAUCCUCGCAAUGUCCU
rnacentral:tRNA from 1 species